UGUGGGAGCGGGCUUGCCCGCGAUGGCUUCGGCACAUUCAACAUUGGUGUGUCUGAAAUUCAGCUAUCGCGGGCAAGCCCGCUCCCACA
rnacentral:misc_RNA from 1 species